GUCACACCCCUCCACACCUCCCUAACCUGAGGAAGACAGGAAAUGAUUAACUUUAUUCCCUGGGGAACAGUGAUGGGGGUAGGAUAUUCAAAAGAAAUUCAAGAGACCACUUACCUGAGGCAGAAGUUUUAUCAGUUCUCAGCAAAUGGACAGACCUGUGAAGUGGGAGGCAAAAAGGCAUUAGAGGUGAAGGGCAAACAGACUUUGGACCUGCUUGGACCUAGCAAGGACCCACAACAGGACCCUAGAACCCAGGAUGGACUCUUCCCCCACUAUCCUGGGCAUCGCUCCUUUUUUCAUCCUUUUAGCACCAAGGGACACACAGUGGGAAAACCUUUUCCAAAUUCAAUUCCAUUCUACUCAGCCAGUCUUUACUGUGCUCUCCCCCACCCUGUGCCAGGAUUGAGUGAUGCAGAGACCUGGCCUCUAACUUUUGGGGACAUCACAGUCUUCGGAGAGGCAAAACAGAAGAGCUGUGGGCACAUGGAAGGCAGAAUAAGGAGCAUCUGGCUAAUGUGAACACAAAGAACAUUGGGUGGGGGAGGAUGGCUAUGCCUCCAUGCAAAUGGUGAGAAGUUCCAAGGCCAAGGUGGGAGCUUUAGAAAUUGUAACUGGCCGACUGGUCAGCAGAACUGCUGAAGGAGCUUCAGGACCACAUAAAAAGAUCAGAAUCCAAACCAAGAGAAUGUGGGAAAUGCAUCAGAGCCCCAGAUGCCAGCUGGAGAGAGCAAGCUGGCCCCAGGAGGGAAGCAGGUGAGAAGUGAGAUACAGUCCCUGCCUCUCACAAUGGCUUCUGAUUCCUCUAACAUUGCUGGGACUCUAUUAAGGCUUGUACUGUAUAAGGAUUGUGAUUGAACCCCUGGGAAAAAGGGAAACAUAGGAAGGAGAGCUAUAAUUAUUGCUUUACUAAAGAAACUCAGAGACAGGUCCCUUUCUGUUGUUUAUUGCCUUUA
rnacentral:lncRNA from 1 species